AGGGAUAUAGUUAAUUAUAACAUUUAGUUUGCAUCUAAAAAGUAUUGAUCUUAUCAAUUUUUCUU
rnacentral:tRNA from 1 species